UACGGAGGGUGCAAGCGUUAUCCGGAUUCACUGGGUUUAAAGGGUGCGUAGGUGGGCAGGUAAGUCAGUGGUGAAAUCUCCGGGCUUAACUCGGAAACUGCCAUUGAUACUAUCUUUCUUGAAUACCGUGGAGGUCAGCGGAAUAUGUCAUGUAGCGGUGAAAUGCUUAGAUAUUACAUGGAACACCAAUUGCGAAGGCAGCUCACUACGGGAUUAUUGACACUGAGGCACGAAAGCGUGGGGAUCAAACAGG
rnacentral:rRNA from 1 species